CCUACGGGUGGCAGCAGUGGGGGAUAUUGCACAAUGGGGGAAACCCUGAUGCAGCGACGCCGCGGGAGUGAAGAAGUAUUUCGGUAUGUAAAGCCCUAUCAGCAGGGAAGAAGAAAUGACGGUACAUGAGUAAGAAGCCCCGGCUAACUACGUGACAGCAGCCGCGGUAAUAGGUAGGGGGCGAGCGUUAUCCGGAAUUACUGGGUGUAAAGGGAGCGUAGACGGUGAUGUGAGUCUGGAGUGAAAGGCGGGGUCCCAACCCCCGGACUGCUGUGGAAAGUAUGUGACUGGAGUGCAGGAGAGGUGAGCGGAAUUCGUAGUGUAGCGGUUAAAUGCGUAGAUAUUAGGAAGAACACCAGUGGCGAAGGCGGCUCACUGGACUUUAACUGACGUUGAGGCUCGAAAGCGUGGGGAGCAAACAGGAUUAGAUACCCCUGUAGUC
rnacentral:rRNA from 1 species